GUGAAUGCUAGCGGCGUGCUUAAGGUAUGCAAGUCGAACGAUCCUGCUUGCAGGAUAGUGGCGAACGGCUGAGUAAUACGUAGGAAUUUUCCCUUAUCUCAAGGAUAAUCAGUCGAAAGGCUGACUAAUACUUGAUGUGGAGGCAACUCUAAAGAUUUAUCGGAUAAGGAUAAGCCUGCGGCCUAUCAGGUAGUUGGUUGGGUAAUGGCCUACCAAGCCUAUGACGGGUAACUGGUGUUAGCGCAUGACCAGUCAGAAGGGCACUGAGACACGGGCCCUACUCCUACGGGAGGCAGCAAUCGGGAAUCUUGCGCAAUGGGCGAAAGCCUGACGCAGCGACGCCGCGUGAAGGAUGAAUGCCUUCGGGUUGUAAACUUCUGAGAAUAGCACCGGCUAACUACGU
rnacentral:rRNA from 1 species